rnacentral:tRNA from 1 species
GCCCGAGCAGCGCGCGGGCGCCGUGCGCCAGCGGCGCGUGGUGGAGGAGCGGCUGGUGUAUUCGGCCGUGUUCGAUCUGUGAGUUCGAUCU